rnacentral:rRNA from 1 species
AACGUAGGACGCAAGCGUUAUCCGGAGUUACUGGGCGUAAAGGGCGGGCAGGCGGCUUGUCAAGUGGGAUGUCAAAGCGCACAGCUUAACUGAGCGAGGCCAUUCCAAACUGAUGAGCUGGAGGGCAGUAGAGGUAGGCGGAAUUCCGGGUGGAGUGGUGAAAUGCGUAGAGAUCCGGAGGAACACCAGAGGCGAAGGCGGCAUUCUGGACUGUAACUGACACUGAUGAACGAAAGCCAGGGGAGCAAACGGG